rnacentral:lncRNA from 1 species
AACACAGAUCAAACAACAUUAGUAGAUUGAGCUACCUGCUUAAAUAAAACAUCUGUAAAGAAAUUAUUUAAAAUCUUCCACUUUUUAAUGGGAAUGGACAGAUUUUAUAUACUGAAAAUCUUGAAACUAUAAAGUAUGCAUUUUGUCUGACUUUAUUACAUUAGACAAUUUAGGUAGCCAUUUAAGAUAACCUUUCCAAAUGCUCUGAGAACUAGAUAUUAAUAGUUACUGGCCUCAGAUAUCAGAACACAAAUACUUAGUUACAUUGGUAAUUACUAUCUAUGAGGAAGAAAGGGUAGUGGAAUCUGACAAUUAAUGAGAAUCAACUUGCAGGGUCUAAAUGAAUAAACAAAGACCAAAAAUAAGGUGAAACAUUUCCUUCAAGUAUAUAUUAAAAAACUACACGAAAAAAAUGCUACCUGAAAUAAAUAAUAUUUAUACUUUUGUUCCAGUCUUGAUUAGAGAAAAAAAUGAAGUAAGCAAAGAAACAUAACUUUCGAUGACUACUGUAAAAUUUAAAAAAAAGACAAAUAUCAAAAUAAAAAAAUUAGUGGACAUGCAAACAAAGCAAAACUAAAGUUGACUUCCUAAAACCACCAAUUUCAUUAAAUACACUUAUGAACUCCUAAUGUCUGGGAUGUGUUUUGUUUGUAAUUUAUAGCCCUUAGAGCCAUCAAAUACACACAAGCAAGUUCAUUUGCAUGUGUUCUCUCUUUUUUAAAGUGCAAGACAAACACAGAAAAGAACAACCACUAAUUGUGAAACGUGAUCUAGCUCCAAUGCCACUUACCUUCCCAGAAGCUCUUGUUGCAACAGGUGCAUGUGAAGAUGGUGCAAAUAUUGGCAACUGCUCCCCUUCCCUCAGCAUGGGUGGGGCCGGGGGUGCAGAAUACAUUUCUGAGGAUACUUGAAGUAUCCUAAAUGUAAGAUGCCUCCACUGGGAGGGCCAUGGUAGCUGGAUUUCCCAGGAUGCUGUUUCUUUCUACUGGGUCUCCCACAAGGCUCUGGGUGGAAGGCACACAGCUCUUAAGAGAGCCUCCCUUUCAGACUGACCACUAUAUGCCCCUGCCACCAAUGACUGGUUGUGUCUCAAACAUAAAUACAACGGCAAAAACAAAAAGCAAGAAAGACAAAGAAAGGGUAUGGAAACAGUUUAAAAAAUAAAUUGAAAAAUCCUCGUCCAUGCCUUAAGAAUCAUUUGCACACCUUCGUGAUCUUGCUUUCUCCAUCUUGUCAAUAUAAUGGAAUAAAACUUCAGGAAAAAGGAGGUAGCAUAUCAUGUCGUCCCUAGACAACAUUAUAAUUGUUUGUUUUUUACUCUGACUCCAAGGAAAUCUUUAAUAUUUGUUAUGAUUAUGGUAAACUCUAUACUCACUACAUAUUUGUUCAU